rnacentral:lncRNA from 1 species
AUGGAGGUGGUGGGCGGCGGAGGUGCCUUGCAAAGGGGCCCAGACUACAGCUUUUGUUGGCUCUAAACUCCGGGAGCUGGAACCCAGGACUCCACUCUCCAGAUCCCGGUGGAAGUAGCGGCAGGGACUGUGGCGCGGAACCCAAGUACUCUCUGGGUCAGGAUCUCGGACACAGCAGUGCCCAAAGGUAAACCUCUAAUGGAAACUCUAACACGGCCCGGGAGCUCCCAUUUGGAGGAGAAGAUCUGAAGGCCCACUUGCUGCAGAACCCAGCACAGUGUUGGGUAUUUUGUCUCAGCAACGAGAAAAGUAACUAAGACACCCAGGCUGGCCACAAAUUCUUGGUCCUCCUGCCUCACACUCCUAUGUAGUUGGGAUUACAGGAUACGGUGACAUAAGCAGCCAUCCUGGAUGGGGAGUCACACACCUUCUCCACCCGCUGAGGACCAUCUUCUCCAUUUACCUCUGGAAUACCACUUCAUUUGAAGAGGACAGAUCUAUUUGUGGGUCUGUUAUGGCUACAUUGUGUAAAGAUCAAGAAGGGGCUGGGGCUUUAGCUCAGUGGACCGUGCCUGCCUUCCAAGCACAAGGUCCUGAGUUUGAUCCCUGGUACCAAAACAAAAACAAAAACAAAAAACAACAACAAAAAAACACACAACUUGUAGAUCAAGAUCAACCAGGCAUGGUGGCA